CCACAGCUGAGGAGUUCUACAAUAGGACGAAACGGCCGUCCAAUGC
rnacentral:hammerhead_ribozyme from 1 species